UCCCUGGUGGCUCAGCUGGUAAAGACUCCACCUGCAAUGUGGGAGACCUGGGUUCGAUUCCUAGGUUGGGAA
rnacentral:tRNA from 1 species